GGUCUCCAGUUAACGCAGUCGCAAGUUAAACCAGAACACCACCGGAAGCUGGAGGCAACCCGGAAAAAAAAAAAAAAAACCACCCGCCUCGUCAAGAAAUCUGAAUGUUCUGUUGGAUAUGUAGACUGCACUAA